rnacentral:rRNA from 1 species
CCUACGGGAGGCAGCAGUGAGGAAUAUUGGUCAAUGGACGAGAGUCUGAACCAGCCAAGUAGCGUGCAGGAUGACUGCCCUAUGGGUUGUAAACUUCUUUUAUAAAGGAAUAAAACGAGGCACGUGUGCCUUUUUGCAUGUACUUCAUGAAUAAGGAUCGGCUAACUCCGUGCCAGCAGCCGCGGUAAUACGGAGGAUCCGAGCGUUAUCCGGAUUUAUUGGGUUUAAAGGGAGCGUAGAUGGGUUGUUAAGUCAGUUGUGAAAGUCUGCGGCUCAACCGUAAAAUUGCAAUUGAUACUGGCAGGCUUGAGUACAGUGGAGGUAGGCGGAAUUCGUGGUGUAGCGGUGAAAUGCUUAGAUAUCACGAAGAACCCCGAUUGCGAAGGCAGCUUACUAAAGUGUGACUGACAUUGAUGCUCGAAGGUGUGGGUAUCGAACAGGAUUAGAUACCCGAGUAGUC